rnacentral:tRNA from 1 species
GGAAAUGGUAGCUCAAGGGAAGAGCGCUCGAACUUCAUUCGGGAGGUUGGGAGUUCAAGUCUCCCUCAUUUCCA